rnacentral:rRNA from 1 species
AACAGCCGCGGUAAUUCCAGCUCCAAUAGCGUAUAUUAAAGUUGUUGCAGUUAAAAAGCUCGUAGUUGAAUUUCGGGAUCAAUUCGUCGGUCGUGCUUUUUGGUACGUACUGGCGUUAUUGGUUUCUCCCUUCUGACGAGCCAUGAUGUCAUUAAUUUGGUGUUAUGGGGAGUUAGGACUGUUACUUUGAAAAAAUUAGAGUGUUUAAAGCAGGCAUUAGCUUGAAUACAUUAGCAUGGAAUAAUGAAAUAGGACGUUCGAUCCUAUUUUGUUGGUUUCUAGGAUCAACGUAAUGAUUAAUAGGGAUAGUUGGGGGCAUUAGUAUUCAAUUGUCAGAGGUGAAAUUCUUGGAUUUAUUGAAGACUAACUACUGCGAAAGCAUUUGCCAAGGAUGUUUACAUUAAUCAAGAACGAAAGUUAGGGGAUCGAAGACGAUCAGAUACCGUCGUAGUCUUAACCAUAAACUAUGCCGACUAGGGAUCGGAUGAUGUUAGUUUUUUAAUGACUCA